rnacentral:rRNA from 1 species
UACGUAGGGAGCAAGCGUUGUCCGGAAUCAUUGGGCGUAAAGCGCGCGUAGGCGGCCCCGUAAGUCCGCUGUGAAAGUCAAAGGCUCAACCUUUGAAAGCCCGGGUGGAUACUGUGGGGCUAGAGUCCGGAAGAGGCGAGUGGAAUUCCUGGUGUAGCGGUGGAAUGCGCAGAUAUCAGGAGGAACACCAAUAGCGAAGGCAGCUCGCUGGGACGGUACUGACGCUAAGGCGCGAAAGCGUGGGGAGCGAACAGG